GGCCCUUUAGCUCAGUGGUUAGAGCAGGCGACUCAUAAUCGUCCGGUCGCUGGUUCAAGUCCUGCAAGGGCCACCA
rnacentral:tRNA from 1 species